AGCUCGUAGUUGAACCUUGGGCCUGGCUGGCCGGUCCGCCUCACCGCGUGUACUGGUCCGGCCGGGCCUUUCCCUCUGUGGAACCCCAUGCCCUUCACUGGGUGUGGCGGGGAAACAGGACUUUUACUUUGAAAAAAUUAGAGUGCUCCAGGCAGGCCUAUGCUCGAAUACAUUAGCAUGGAAUAAUAGAAUAGGACGUGUGGUUCUAUUUUGUUGGUUUCUAGGACCGCCGUAAUGAUUAAUAGGGACAGUCGGGGGCAUCAGUAUUCAAUUGUCAGAGGUGAAAUUCUUGGAUUUAUUGAAGACUAACUACUGCGAAAGCAUUUGCCAAGGAUGUUUUCAUUAAUCAGGAACGAAAGUUAGGGGAUCGAAGACGAUCAGAUACCGUCGUAGUCUUAACCAUAAACUAUGCCGACUAGGGAUCGGACGAUGUUAUUUUUUGACUCGUUCGGCACCU
rnacentral:rRNA from 1 species